CCCAAUGAUGAAAGUUACCCCCACUGAUUGAUGAUGAAAUCGGCACUAACUGAGGG
rnacentral:snoRNA from 1 species